rnacentral:rRNA from 1 species
AGUGAACGCUGGCGGUAGGCCUAACACAUGCAAGUCGAACGGCAGCACAGUAAGAGCUUGCUCUUACGGGUGGCGAGUGGCGGACGGGUAAGGAAUACAUCGGAAUCUACUUUUUCGUGGGGGAUAACGUAGGGAAACUUACGCUAAUACCUCAUACGACCUACGGGUGAAAGCAGUGGUUCUUCGGACCUUGCGCGAUUGAAUGAGCCGAUGUCGGAUUAGCUAGUUGGCUGGGUAAAGGCCCACCAAGGCGACGAUCCGUAGCUGGUCUGAGAGGAUGAUCAGCCACACUGGAACUGAGACACGGUCCAGACUCCUACGGGAGGCAGCAGUAGGGAAUAUUGGACAAUGGGCGCAAGCCUGAUCCAGCCAUACCGCGUGGGUGAAGAAGGCCUUCGGGUUGUAAAGCCCUUUUGUUAGGAAAGAAAAGCAGCAGGUUAAUCCCCCGCUGUUCUGACGGUACCCAAAGAAUAAGCACCGGCUAACUUCGUG